GUCGGGCAAGGUCUUGAGUUCGAACCUCAAGGCGGUCAGGCUGCCUGGUGUAGUUUGGUUUAUCACGUGCCCUUCACAUA
rnacentral:tRNA from 1 species